rnacentral:rRNA from 1 species
CAGCAGCCGCGGGAAUACGUAGGGUGCGAGCGUUAAUCGGAAUUACUGGGCGUAAAGCGUGCGCAGGCGGUUCGUUAAGACAGAUGUGAAAUCCCCGGGCUUAACCUGGGAACUGCAUUUGUGACUGGCGAGCUAGAGUAUGGCAGAGGGGGGUAGAAUUCCACGUGUAGCAGUGAAAUGCGUAGAGAUGUGGAGGAAUACCGAUGGCGAAGGCAGCCCCCUGGGCCAAUACUGACGCUCAUGCACGAAAGCGUGGGGAGCAAACAGGAUUAGAUACCCCAGUAGUCCCUGUCUCUUAUAA